rnacentral:rRNA from 1 species
GCUCAGUAACACGUGGACAAUUUACCCUUGGGACCAGGAUAACCCCUGGGAAACUGGGGCUAAUACUGGAUGGAGCACCGGCUGCUGGAAUGCGCGAUGCUCGAAAGCUGAGGCGCCCAAGGAUAGGUCUGCGGCUGAUUAGGUUGUUGUUGAUGUAACGGAUCAACAAGCCCGCGAUCGGUACGGGUUGUGAGAGCAAUAGCCCGGAGAUGGGUUCUGAGAAAAGAACCCAGGUCCUACGGGACGCAUCAGGCGCGAAAACUUUACAAUGUGCGAAAGCGCGAUAAGGGAACUCUGAGUGCCUCCUAAGGAGGCUGUUCAGGUGUCUAAAAAGCAUCUGGAGUAAGGGCUGGGCAAGACCGGUGCCAGCCGCCGCGGUAACACCGGCAGCUCAAGUGGUAGCCAUGCUUAUUGGGUCUAAAGCGUCCGUAGCCGGCUGAGUAAGUUCCUUGGGAAAUUUGACCGCUUAACGGUUAAGCUAUCAGGGAAUACUGCUUGGCUUGGGACCGGGAGAGGUCAGAGGUACUCCAGGGGUAGGGGUGAAAUCUAUUAAUCCUUGGGGGACCACCGGUAGCGAAGGCGUCUGACCAGACCGGGUCCGACGGUGAGGGACGAAGGCUGGGGUCGCGAACCGGAUUAGAUACCCGGGUAGUCCCAGCUGUAAACGAUGCGGGCCAGGUGUUGGCAUUACUGCGAGUGAUGUCAGUGCCAAAGGGAAGCCGUUAAGCCCGCCAUCUGGGGAGUACGGUGCGCAAGGCUGAAACUUAAAGAAAUUGGCGGGGGAGCACCACAACGGGUGGAGC